CGGGGCUUAAAGUCUUGUAAUUGGAAUGAUGGGAAUUUAAACCUCUUCCAGAGUAUCAAUUGGAGGGCAAGUCUGGUGCCAGCAGCCGCGGUAAUUCCAGCUCCAAUAGCGUAUAUUAAAAUUGUUGCAGUUAAAAAGCUCGUAGUUGAAUUUCUGCUGCAUUGCUUGUGUCCCUCUGGGGUCUGUGCAUGUGGCUUUUUUCGGACGGAGUUUCUUUGUCUGAAUGUUUACUUUGAGAAAAUUAGAGUGCUCAAAGCAGGCUUUCGCCUUGAAUAGUUUAGCAUGGAAUAAUGAAGUAGGACUUUGGUUCUAUUUUGUUGGUUUUAGGUACCAAAGUAAUGGUUAAUAGGAACAGUUGGGGGCAUUCGUAUUUAACUGUCAGAGGUGAAAUUCUUAGAUUUGUUAAAGACGAACUACUGCGAAAGCAUUUGCCAAGGAUGUUUUCAUUAAUCAAGAAC
rnacentral:rRNA from 1 species